rnacentral:rRNA from 1 species
CGCGUAGGUGGCUCUGUAUGUCUACCGUGAAAGCGUACGGCUCAACCGUAUUUUGUCGGUAGAAACUGCAGGACUUGAGGCUGGGAGGGGCUGGUGGAAUUCCCUGUGUAGCGGUGAAAUGCGUAGAGAUGGGGGAGAACACUCGUGGCGAAGGCGGCCAGCUAGACCAGUUCUGACACUGAGGCGCGACAGCGUGGGGAGCAAACA